AUACGUAGGGGGCAAGCGUUAUCCGGAUUUACUGGGCGUAAAGGGAGCGUAGACGGAAGGCCAAGUCUGAUGUGAAAGCCCGCGGCUCAACUGCGGGACUGCAUUGGAAACUGGUCAUCUGGAGUGCAGGAGGGGUAAGCGGAAUUCCUAGUGUAGCGGUGAAAUGCGUAGAUAUUAGGAGGAACACCGGCGGCGAAGGCGGCUUACUGGACUGUAACUGACGUUGAGGCUCGAAAGCGUGGGGAGCAAACAGGAUUAGAUACCCUGGUAGUCCACGCCGUAAACGAUGAUUACUAGGUGUUGGUUGUCAUAGACAAUCGGUGCCGCAGCAAACGCAAUAAGUAAUCCACCUGGGGAGUACGGUCGCAAGAAUGAAACUCAAAGGAAUUGACGGGG
rnacentral:rRNA from 1 species